UUGUAAAAAAUCUGACCUGCUCUAUGUAAAUGGCCGCGGUAUUUUGACCGUGCUAAGGUAGCAAAAUCAUUUGUUUUUUUAUUGGGGACUGGUAUGAAAGGUUGGACAAGAGAAUGGCUGUCUUGAAGGUUUGAAUUUUGUGUUGAUUUGAAAAAAAAUGAGGGAAGAAAAGACCCUAUUAAGUUUUAUUAUUUUACUGGGGCGGUAAUGAUGAAUAAGGAUUAAAUUACUAUAGGGAUAACAGCGUGAAAUAUUCUUAGAGUUCUUAUUGAAGAAUAGUUUUGCGACCUCGAUGUUGAAUUAAGGAUAUUUGGUGUAGGACUUUUAAAAACUUACA
rnacentral:rRNA from 1 species